rnacentral:lncRNA from 1 species
CGAUCAAAAUCGAUACCUGAAUCAUCCAGAAAGAGUGUUAAUAGAGACUGUACAGAAAGAGAGAGAAAAAUAGGGUUUAUAGAGAGAAGAAUAAGAAGGAAAACCCCAAAGCGAAGAAAGAGAAGAUGGUGAGAAGGAAGAGGUGAAGGUAAAAGCGGAGGUAGGGGGUGUAUAUAGGGGGCUCCUUUAUAGGCUUUUUUGUGUGUGAAAUUGGUUAAGCUAGUACUUCUAACCCUGGGGAAGGAGGAGGUUAUAUAGAUACACCCAAACACAAAUUGAGUUUUGUUAUGUUGCUUCGUCUUCUUUCUAUUCGAGUCGGUUUUUACUUGGGCCCUCUGCUUUGCUUUCACUUUGUUUCCUAGGGUUCAUUGCUACAUGAGAUAAAAGAUACUACUUAAUAAUUUUUUAUUUUUUUUUAUAAUUAUGAUAUUUGAAUUAAUUUAUGUGCAUGGAGGUUAUUUUCAAGAGAUAUUUAUAAUCUCCUAUUAGAAAUAAAUUAAUUAAUAUUUGUUUUUGUUGAAAAUUGAAUGUGAUAGCUCAUAAUGCUCGACUCAAUUUCAAUGAUUUCAGAAUAUAGUUUUGGAUUAAUUUUAGCUUUAUGUUUAAUUUGAGAUGUUAGUUAAUUUUAGGAUGAUAAAAUUAUUAUGACGGGAUAAAAUAAUUUUAUGGAAUAUCGGUUUUAGCAUCUCUCUUGUUUCUUGGGGUUAGUUGGUUCAUGGGAUAAAGAUAAUGAUUUUGGAAUAGAAUUUUUGAUUAGUUUUAAGUUGUAUUUGAUUUGAGGUAUUGAGAGAUCGUUUGAUAUAUCAGAUAAGGAAAAUAGUUUUGAUAUAAAAAUAGGAUUAAUUUAAUUCUUUGUUUGGUAUGAAGUGGUAUGAACUAAUUUUGAAACUAUUUUAUUCCGCGUGUAUAUAUAGGGUGAUAUAAAAUAAUCCCAUGAAAUAUUCAUACUUAUUUCAUUCGGUUUACCAAAGGACCCCUAACUGAUUUGGGUUAGGGGGAUUAUCAUGGUGGAAUGAAAUAAUUUAUGGGAUAUCCUUGUUUAUCAUAUCCUGAAUAUCAAAUUACUUUUUCAGAGUUCUUAUUUUUUGUUUAAUACAUAGUCAGUGUCUUAAAUUUGUUAAGGUAUAUUUUAUAUAGACACUCGAGUUAAGUCGUGUUAAAUUGAACACUUCAAUACCUAAUAAAUGUUUCAAUUCGACAAUUUCGAUUUUAAUCUUUGUAUGUAUUUUUAUUCGUCUAUUAUUGAUGCAAACACCUACAAGUAAAUGAAAUGCCACAUUUCAUGUAGUUAACUUAAUUAUCUAAUAGUGAAGAACAUGCACAUACAAAAAAAUAUGAUUAAAACAUUUACUAAGCGUUUAGGUGUUCAAUUGGAACAACAGUCAAAUCGAGAAUAUAAAAUGUCAUAAUUAGUUCAAAGGACUGAUUAUGCAUCAAACUCAUAUUUUUUGUUCUCAAUUAAAUUAUGUAUAUAAAUAAGAUUUUCAUAAUCUAAAAAAUGAAAACUAAAAGUAUCAAGACUUAUAAAUUUUAAAUCAAUGCAUUGUUCAAGGAAACAAUUAAUUUGGAGUGAUAAUUGUAACAAAAAAAAAAUGAUUUUGUCCUUAAAUGUACGAAUUCUAAAUUUAAACAUUUGAUAAACAUUGAGUCGGAAUGAAUAAAAAUAAGGAUAUAAAAUUGUAGAAUGAUUAUAUAUUUGCAAGUUGAUUUUGACUUACAUAACAAAAUUCAAUCAUUCUUUUUCAUCUUUUGGUUAUUUUUUUGCUAUUAUUUACUAUUAUUUUUGGUGUCAUUAUUCUUUAUCAAAGUAAAGAUCAUUGUUCAUUAAUCAUUAUAUGAAUUUUUGCUUAAAUUAUAUGUAUGAAUGUAAAACAAACACAAAGAAAAUUGAUAGUAACUAAUUAAUAAGCAUUAUCUUUGUUUGAAUUGUUAGCCUUGAUAAUUUAGUUAUGCAAAACAAUAAUUAGAUUUUCAAGUGAUGGACAGAUGUUUGUUAAACAAAAUCACACCAACAAUAUUCAUAAAACAAAAUGUAGUAACUUAAUUAUUCAUAACAAUAAUAAUAAUAUAUUUUGUGUAAUUUUAUAAAUACAAAUCGAAUAAAGGGUAUGUAAAUGUAAAUUUUAUUUCUACUUUUAGAGGUAGAAAUUUUGGUUUUUACUAUUCAUAACAAUAAUAAUAAUAUAUUUUGUGUAAUUUUAUAAAUACAAACCGAAUAAAGAGUAUGUAAAUGUAAAUUUUAUUUCUACUUUUAGAGGUAGAAAUUUUGGUUUUUACUAUUCAUAACAAUAAUAAUAAUAUAUUUUGUGUAAUUUUAUAAAUACAAAUCGAAUAAAGGGUAUGUAAAUGUAAAUUUUAUUUCUACUUUUAGAGGUAGAAAUUUUGGUUUUUACUAUUCAUAACAAUAAUAAUAAUAUAUUUUGUGUAAUUUUAUAAAUACAAAUCGAAUAAAGGGUAUGUAAAUGUAAAUUUUAUUUCUACUUUUAGAGGUAGAAAUUUUGGUUUUUACUAUUCAUAACAAUAAUAAUAAUAUAUUUUGUGUAAUUUUAUAAAUACAAAUCGAAUAAAGGGUAUGUAAAUGUAAAUUUUAUUUCUACUUUUAGAGGUAGAAAUUUUGGUUUUUACUAUUCAUAACAAUAAUAAUAAUAUAUUUUGUGUAAUUUUAUAAAUACAAAUCGAAUAAAGGGUAUGUAAAUGUAAAUUUUAUUUCUACUUUUAGAGGUAGAAAUUUUGGUUUUUACUAUUCAUAACAAUAAUAAUAAUAUAUUUUGUGUAAUUUUAUAAAUACAAAUCGAAUAAAGGGUAUGUAAAUGUAAAUUUUAUUUCUACUUUUAGAGGUAGAAAUUUUGGUUUUUACUAUUCAUAACAAUAAUAAUAAUAUAUUUUGUGUAAUUUUAUAAAUACAAAUCGAAUAAAGGGUAUGUAAAUGUAAAUUUUAUUUCUACUUUUAGAGGUAGAAACAACAACACACAUUGCACGCCUCAAACACAACACCAAUACGAAAAAAAGCACAAUGUGAAGUAAUUCCAAAAAACCGAAGGGAAAAAAUUGUCCCUUUCAUAAACAAGUGGUUCCUAUAAAUACAAAAUCCUAACCAACACACUUUUUUUACGAGUGUGGUGCCGGACGUACCCCAACUAUUUCCACGUAACAAGUAUAAGGUAACUUUGUCCACCAAGGCUAGAACGUACUGGAACAAAUCACCUAAUGUUUGCCUCUGUCAAGAUUUGAACCCGAAAUCUCAUGGUGCUCAACCCACCCCAUUAACCACGAGACCACAACAGCAGACAUUCCUCGCCUCAAACAAAACAACACUCCCAAAAAAAAUGCACUUUGUGAAAUAAUUCCCAAAACCCUACGAAAAAAAACCCAUUCCUUUACGAAACAAGCUGUUCAUUAACACAAAACCCUACCGGGAAAAAAAAUCCCUUUACGAAACAAUCUGUUCGACAACACCAAAACCCUAAACAACACAGAGCAGCAACCAAAUAUAAAAAUAAAAAGUAAGCAAUGAGUAAAAAGACAAAAAUGAGUAGCACGUACAGGUUCAGAGUCUAGUUUAAUAGAUGGACCAAUAGCUCCUUCGCUGGAUAGAAGUUGCCGUAACCUCGACGGCAAACUCGAUCUUAACGUCGUCAUAUCUCCUUGUAACUAUUCACUGAACCACAACACAAAUCCAAAAAAAACACAAAUCAGCCCCAAAAAAAUCAGAAAAAAUCCACACAUUCAAAUACAUAAAUAAAAAAGGGAAAAAUCAUGAAAUCGAUCAAAAUCGAUACCUGAAUCAUCCAAAAAGAAAUGUUAAGAGAGACUGUACAGAAAGAGAGAGAAAAAUAGGGUUUAUAGAGAGAAGAAUAAGAAGGAAAACCCCAAAGCGAAGAAAGAGAAGAUGGUGAGAAGGAAGAGGUGAAGGUAAAAGCGGAGGUAGGGGGUGUAUAUAGGGGGCUCCUUUAUAGGCUUUUUUGUGUGUGAAAUUGGUUAAGCUAGUACUUCUAACCCUGGGGAAGGAGGAGGUUAUAUAGAUACACCCAAACACAAAUUGAGUUUUGUUAUGUUGCUUCGUCUUCUUUCUAUUCGAGUCGGUUUUUACUUGGGCCCUCUGCUUUGCUUUCACUUUGUUUCCUAGGGUUCAUU